rnacentral:rRNA from 1 species
UACAGAGGUCCCGAGCGUUGUUCGGAUUCAUUGGGCGUAAAGGGUGCGUAGGCGGCGGGGCAAGUCUGAUGUGAAAUCCCGGGGCUCAACCCCGGAACUGCAUUGGAUACUGCUUUGCUUGAGUACUGGAGAGGAGACUGGAAUUUACGGUGUAGCAGUGAAAUGCGUAGAGAUCGUAAGGAAGGCCAGUGGCGAAGGCGAGUCUCUGGACAGUUACUGACGCUGAGGCACGAAGGACAGGGGAGCAAACGGG